GCCAGCACCUCUGGAGUCUGUCUGGCAGAGAAGCAAGAGGCUCAGCGUGUCGGUCUGUAAGUGAUGGUUUCCAGGGCUCUGCUCUCCCCGGGAGCCGCGGAUGCUGACCUGUAAGGUCCCCAGCUCCUAUAAUCGAAAGCCAAAACACGGGCAGAAGCACAGCUGGGGACAAUCCUACGCUGUCACUCCUGAGCAGAUCACUGGGCAGACAGACCUAAAAGAUGCAAAUUUGACAUUUUCUGUUGGAAGAUCUCUGGUUCUGCUGUCACUGACACAUUAGCAAGGAAACCCUGGGGUAGGGCAAGGUCUGACCAGGAGCUGUAUGUGAUGCAUCAAACAAAACUCUGUGC
rnacentral:lncRNA from 1 species